rnacentral:rRNA from 1 species
GACGAACGCUGGCGGCGUGCUUAACACAUGCAAGUCGAACGGAAAGGCCCUGCUUUUGUGGGGUGCUCGAGUGGCGAACGGGUGAGUAACACGUGAGUAACCUGCCCUUGACUUUGGGAUAACUUCAGGAAACUGGGGCUAAUACCGGAUAGGAGCUCCUGCUGCAUGGUGGGGGUUGGAAAGUUUCGGCGGUUGGGGAUGGACUCGCGGCUUAUCAGCUUGUUGGUGGGGUAGUGGCUUACCAAGGCUUUGACGGGUAGCCGGCCUGAGAGGGUGACCGGCCAAAUGGGGACGGGGAGACGGCCCAAACCCCUAGGGGAGGAAGCAGGGGGGAAAAUUGAAAAAGGGGGGGAAGCCUGAUGCAGAAACGCCGGGGGGGGGAGGACGGCCUUGGGGUUGUAAACCGCUUUCGCCUGGGACGAAGCGGGGGUGAGGGUAAUGGGGAAAGAAACACCGGCUAAUUACGU